AUCAUUAUUAUAAAUGUAUUUACUGUCACUUUUGAUCAAUUUAAUUCAUCCUUGCUCGAUACAAAAAUAAUUAAUUUAAUAAAAAAUACAAAUCUUAAUGACCCCAAACUUUUAAACAUUUGCUCAGGCAUGUGUCUAGAGAGAAAUGCAAACUGAUGAUUAAUUAAAGAAAUUUGGGUUAGUUACUGGUUGACAAUAAACACAUGAUUAUAAAAAGAGAACCGACAUGAAAUGCAAAAGUAUAAAAAUCAGUAUCAUUGACAAUCGCAGAAAUAAUAGAUGCUGAAAAUAUGCUGAUGUUUAAAUAAUGGCAUGAUGGUUGCAGUUAAUAUUAAUGGAUUAGUUCACCCCCAAAAAUAAAUAUUUCACCUGUCCUGUUUGCCUUUGUGUUUCACAGAUCAGUCAUAUAGGUUUGGAACAACAUGAGUGUAAGUAAAUGAUAACCGUUGAACAAAGGGCCUCCUCUGCUGUCAAGAACUCAUAUUUUAUAGUGAAUAAAUCAUUCUAAAAAAGGAAAGAAUACUAAUGGGGUCCAAAUGAGAUCAAAUAAACAAGCACGCUUGUUGAUGUCCAUAAAAGGGUAAAGGAAAGAAGUAUUUUCAACUGCAUUCCUUUAACAACUGACAGUCUGUUUUUUAAAGAGGAAUUUUUGUUUGAAAAUAUCAACCUACAUAUAUAUGCAAAAAUAUAUAACUUAUCAGCCCAUCAUUUUUCACAGCAGACUGAAUAUGGGAUUUUGUUAUAACUUUAACAUCAGUUCCAUAUGGAACAUGCACACCAACUGCAAACUGUUCUCAGAGUUUACAGCCACAAACAGUAAGAAUAACAUGAUUGUGAAAUAACUGGUAAGAAACAUUACUGACUUGGUCUGCUUGUAAAUCUUAAUUAUUUUUAAAAUGAUUCUUUGUAGAUGGCACUGGUAUUAGCAUUAAGAAUUGCAUCACCUCAUAUGGUGAUUGGAGCGUAAAUGUUGGACUGAUGAGAUAUACCUCCCAAUGCUGUGCAUUAGAUCUCUGCAACAAUACUGCAGGUAGUACAAACAUGUGAGAAUAAAGAAACAUGGACUGUGAUGUUCCUACUUACGCUAAACUUUAACUCUGUUACACUAACAAAUAUUGCAUUUUUUAAAAAGUUUUAUAUUAAAUUGACUAUCUAUUCUAAACAUUUCUACUAUACUGUGAACAUUUUUGUCACCAUGAUUUGAAUUGACUUGCACAUGAAUUAAAAGGUCGGUUCACCCCAAAAUUAAAAUUCAGACAUUGUUUACAGACUUCUUUUGCAGAAUUUCAAUUUUUCUCUCUCUAUUCAGUUAAUGGAGGUUUCAAGCUUUUAAAAGGACACCAAAAGCCCCAUAAAAUUGACCCAUAGGCCUACAACUUUUAUGUCAUUAUUCACUGAUAAGCUUCCUCUCUGGUGAGAAAGAUUUGAAGCUGAGAACCAGGUCAUUCUGACAGCUUUUUUUUGAACCAGAUUAACUGUGUCAAUGAAAAAAAAUUGCUCAAAGAAUGCGGCAUAUGUCAAUUUUAAAGAAUAACUGUUUAAAUGAUCAGUCUGUUCCUCAUGAAAAGCUGUUGUAUAGAUUCAGAAGAUUAAUAAUGCACAAUAUGGACCAAUUGUAUGAUACUCGCGGUCUUUUGUGUUUUGAGGUGUGGCUCCAGUCUCUGCUUUUCUUUACCUGUCCAGACUCAUCUAAUGGAAUAAAGUGUUACACCUGCAGUGACACAAACUGUUCAACCUAUGAAACACUGGAUUGUUAAGGUUUUGAGGACAAGUGCAUCACUGGAACUGGAGCUGCAUUAAAUGGCAUCAAUGUCACUUUAAAAGGAUGUGCGAGCAAAAACUUCUGUGACGAUGUAUACAAACAGGGAUUCAUGUUUAAUGCUUUAUGUUGUGAUGGAAACCUGUGUAACAGUGCCCAGAGUCUGACACAGGGAGCUGUGCUGCUGCUGGUACCAAUACUUUCCAUCCUUUUUUCCAUCUGAGAUCUGUUUUAGGAGGAUUUGUUAUGGUUGUAUUAGUAUGUGUAUGCUCUUUUUUUUAUGUAAAUGUAAAGCCAUUUCAAGCAACACCUUUUAUGAUUAAUUGAGGGCCAUUCAUUUGUUUCAAAUGACUACCUCUCUGCUAUAAAGUGUGCUUUUGUAUUUCUAUAAUCAUGAAUCUAAUCAUGCACAAUAAAAAUUAAAUGACUUUA